AAGUCGAACGGUAACAGGAAGNAGCUUGCUUCUUNGCUGACGAGUGGCGGACGGGUGAGUAAUGUCUGGGAAACUGCCUGAUGGAGGGGGAUAACUACUGGAAACGGUAGCUAAUACCGCAUAACGUCGCAAGACCAAAGAGGGGGACCUUCGGGCCUCUUGCCAUCGGAUGUGCCCAGAUGGGAUUAGCUAGUAGGUGGGGUAACGGCUCACCUAGGCGACGAUCCCUAGCUGGUCUGAGAGGAUGACCAGCCACACUGGAACUGAGACACGGUCCAGACUCCUACGGGAGGCAGCAGUGGGGAAUAUUGCACAAUGGGCGCAAGCCUGAUGCAGCCAUGCCGCGUGUAUGAAGAAGGCCUUCGGGUUGUAAAGUACUUUCAGCGGGGAGGAAGGGAGUAAAGUUAAUACCU
rnacentral:rRNA from 1 species